rnacentral:snoRNA from 1 species
UGGUCAUUACCAAGGCUUUUAGAAUGCAGUUUCUGAUUUGCUGUAGAGUUGACCACAAAAAAUCUUCCUACUAGGCUUUCUUUUUGCUACAUUUCUAGCAUUCAGCCUAUAAGGAACAUUC